rfam:Caenorhabditis remanei strain PB4641 contig0.34, whole genome shotgun sequence.
ACAGUUCCCACAGGGCUUUCCACACUCAUUGAGAAGCGUUGAAAGACUGAUGGGUCCUGGGA